GGAAUUUUGGACAAUGGGCGCAAGCCUGAUCCAGCCAUGCCGCGUGCGGGAAGAAGGCCUUCGGGUUGUAAACCGCUUUUGUCAGGGAAGAAAAGCUCUGGGUUAAUACCUUGGAGUGAUGACGGUACCUGAAGAAUAAGCACCGGCUAACUACGUGCCAGCAGCCGCGGUAAUACGUAGGGUGCGAGCGUUAAUCGGAAUUACUGGGCGUAAAGCGUGCGCAGGCGGUUGUGCAAGACAGAUGUGAAAUCCCCGGGCUCAACCUGGGAACUGCAUUUGUGACUGCACGGCUGGAGUGCGGCAGAGGGGGAUGGAAUUCCGCGUGUAGCAGUGAAAUGCGUAGAUAUGCGGAGGAACACCGAUGGCGAAGGCAAUCCCCUGGGCCUGCACUGACGCUCAUGCACGAAAGCGUGGGGAGCAAACA
rnacentral:rRNA from 1 species